rnacentral:rRNA from 1 species
AUUGAACGCUGGCGGCAGGCCUAACACAUGCAAGUCGAGCGAGCGGGGACGGGUGAGUAACACGUGGGUAACCUCCCAUCAGAGGGGAUAACACUUGGAAACAGGUGCUAAACCGAUACUGAUGGAUGGACCCGCGGUGCAUUAGCUAGUUGGUGAGGAAACGGCUCACCAAGGCCACGAUGCAUAGCCGACCUGAGAGGGUGAUCGGCCACACUGGGACUUAGACACGGCCCAGACUCCUACGGGAGGCAGCAGUGGGGAAUUUUGGACAAUGGGGGAAACCCUGAUCCAGCCAUCCCGCGUGUAUGAUGAAGGCCUUCGGGUUGUAAAGUACUUUUGGCAGAGAAGCGGUAUCUGCAGAAUAAGCACCGGCUAACUACGUGCCAGCAGCCGCGGUAAUUC